CUUGGCACUGAACAUUGACCCUACAUGUGUAGGAUAGGUGGGAGGCUUUGAAGCACGUACGCCAGUAUGUGUGGAGCCGUCCUUGAAAUACCACCCUUGUAGUGUUGAUGUUCUAACGUCGACCCCUAAUCGGGGUUGCGGACAGUGCCUGGUGGGUAGUUUGACUGGGGCGGUCUCCUCCCAAAGAGUAACGGAGGAGCACGAAGGUGGGCUAAUCACGGUUGGACAUCG
rnacentral:rRNA from 1 species